GAUGAACGCUGGCGGCGUGCCUAAUACAUGCAAGUCGAGCGAACGGAUAAGGAGCUUGCUCCUUUGAUGUUAGCGGCGGACGGGUGAGUAACACGUGGGUAACCUACCUAUAAGACUGGGAUAACUUCGGGAAACCGGGGCUAAUGCCGGAUAAUAUGUUGAACCGCAUGGUUCUAAAGUGAAAGGCGGCUUUGCUGUCACUUAUAGAUGGAUCCGCGCCGUAUUAGCUAGUUGGUAAGGUAACGGCUCACCAAGGCAACGAUACGUAGCCGACCUGAGAGGGUGAUCGGCCACACUGGAACUGAGACACGGUCCAGACUCCUACGGGAGGCAGCAGUAGGGAAUCUUCCGCAAUGGGCGAAAGCCUGACGGAGCAACGCCGCGUGAGUGAUGAAGGUCUUCGGAUCGUAAAACUCUGUUAUUAGGGAAGAACAAAUGCGUAAGUAACUGUGCGCGUCUUGACGGUACCUAAUCAGAAAGCCACGGCUAACUACGUG
rnacentral:rRNA from 1 species